CAUUUACAAAUGGACUGCAAGGCAUCAUAUUGCUGAGUCAUGUUGAGGUUGUGAUCCACCACAAUUGUCAGAUUCUUCUCAGCAGUGCUCUUGCCAAGCCAGUUAUCCCCCAGUCUGU